rnacentral:misc_RNA from 1 species
GAUGAAGAACGUAGCGAAAUGCGAUACGUAAUGUGAAUUGCAAAUUCAGUGAAUCAUCGAGUCUUUGAACGCACAUUGCGCCCCCUGGUAUUCCGGGGGGCAUGCCUGUCCGAGCGUCAUUACUGCCCUCAAGCCCGGCUUGUGUGUUGGGCCCCGUCCUCCGAUCCCGGGGGACGGGCCCGAAAGGCAGCGGCGGCACCGCGUCCGGUCCUCGAGCGUAUGGGGCUUUGUCACCCGCUCUGUAGGCCCGGCCGGCGCUUGCCGAUCAACCCCAAUUUUUUAUAGGUUGACCUCGGAUCAGGUAGGGAUACCCGCUGAACUUAAGCAUAUCAAUAAGCGGAGA